rnacentral:rRNA from 1 species
UAAUACAGAGGGUGCAAGCGUUAUUCGGAGUUACUGGGCGUAAAGGGCGCGUAGGCGGCCUGAUAAGUCCGAUGUGAAAGCCCUGGACUCAAUCCAGGAAGUGCAUCGGAUACUGUUAGGCUAGAGUACAGGAGAGGAGAGUGGAAUUCCUGGUGUAGAGGUAAAAUUCGUAGAUAUCAGGAGGAACAACAGUGGCGAAGGCGACUCUCUGGACUGUUACUGACGCUGAGGCGCGAAAGCGUGGGGAGCAAACAGG